AUGAUAGAAUGUAAAAUCAUCUAAGAUGUUAUUGAUAAUAUUGUUGACAGGUGAGAAUUCUUAGGAAGGAAUCUUACUGGUACAAGGGCACAGGUUCAGUUGUAGCUUGUGAUCAGGAUCCAAAUACUCGUUACCCAGUUGUUGUACGAUUUAACAAAGUGAAUUAUGCUAAUGUUUCAACCAACAACUAUGCAUUGGAUGAAAUCGAAGAAGUGAAAUGAGAGUGUGUAGUAUAUUUGUAGAAUGCAAGGCCCUUUGGUUUUCAUGUUUAUUCUCUAGUUAUAUAUAUACUGCUUUGAUUGUGAAUGAUUGUCUAUUAUAGUUUGUGGCAAUUCGCAGUCCCAUCCCUUUUUCGAUUUUUA